CCUGAGGUGACGAGCGGCGGACGGGUGAGUAAUGCCUAGGGAUCUGCCCAGUCGAGGGGGAUAACAGUUGGAAACGACUGCUAAUACCGCAUACGCCCUACGGGGGAAAGGAGGGGACCUUCGGGCCUUCCGCGAUUGGAUGAACCUAGGUGGGAUUAGCUAGUUGGUGAGGUAAUGGCUCACCAAGGCGACGAUCCCUAGCUGUUCUGAGAGGAUGAUCAGCCACACUGGGACUGAGACACGGCCCAGACUCCUACGGGAGGCAGCAGUGGGGAAUAUUGCACAAUGGGGGAAACCCUGAUGCAGCCAUGCCGCGUGUGUGAAGAAGGCCUUCGGGUUGUAAAGCACUUUCAGUAGGGAGGAAAGGUAAUAGUUUAAUAAACUAUUACUGUGACGUUACCUACAGAAGAAGGACCGGCUAACUCCGUGCCAGCAGCCGCGGUAAUACGGAGGGUCCGAGCGUUAAUCGGAAUUACUGGGCGUAAAGCGUGCGCAGGCGGUUUGUUAAGCCAGAUGUGAAAUCCCCGGGCUCAACCUGGGAAUUGCAUUUGGAACUGGCGAACUAGAGUCUUGUAGAGGGGGGUAGAAUUCCAGGUGUA
rnacentral:rRNA from 1 species